rnacentral:misc_RNA from 1 species
GUUAAUAAAAAUCGGGUGCGUUGCAAUUUUUGUGACGUUUCCGGAGUUUGAGUUAUCUUAAUUAACUUCGGUUUUUAAGAGGCUUAAAAUUGACCUUUUUUUGUGCAUUUUAGACGUACAUAAAUUUUUUUUUAUUCGUCCAUCCUAAUGCCAAAAUCUAUUAGAUGCGACCAUAUCUUGUGGUUCCGUGUCUAUAAAUUUUUCAUG